rnacentral:lncRNA from 1 species
GGAUAGAAGCGCAUCUCGUCGUGUCGCAAGAAUGGAUAUCGUUACAAGUACAUGUACUGAAAAGAAGAGAUAAAUACAGAGUUGGCUUACACUCGCCACAAGCUACAUCAGAGUCACAUCAGUACAUUACAUAUUCAUCAAGAGUAAGAGCAGGGUCCGACUACGGACGAAGACAAACGAGAAAAUAAGAACGGCGUCCAUCCUUGCUAUCCCAGGCUGCCGGCCUGGAACCCAUCCUAGAUCGAUGAAGAAGAAGAAGAAGAAUCAACUCCAAAUGUACAAUCAACGCGCUCGCGUCAAGUAACCUGUACCUGUACCUGCAACUGGUGUUGUAGUAAUCUGUGAGCCACAGGGGACUCAGCAAUCUCAUUUCCAAAGGUAUCAAGACUAGCAAAGCUUAAUGGGUGAGGUAUGGUUAAGUGGUGAGGUUGCCGCAGCGGCUAAGCAUAUAUUUGGUGGCUAAACUUACGAGUACAAGAAUAAGAGGGGGAAGAUCUACGCAUAUCGGACAUGGCUACUGAUGAUCAAAUGAAUGAUCCUGAACACCUACCUACAUCAGACAUAACCCCACCGUGUCCUCGAUCGGAGAAGGAACUCACGAAAGAGACAGUCACGGUUACGCACACAGUUGGCAUAUUUUAAUUAAGUUAACUUCAAGUUAUCUAGAACCAGUGUUAAACAAAGUUUCCACGUUGCCACAUAACCGCGGGCACGGCUUUCCAAAAAGAUUUAACCCUCCAGGGGUGCUCCAACUAGUCCAUCACAAAUUACCACAAGCCGCAUAAAAAUCCUCAAUCACGAAGCUCGCGAUCUCGUCAGAUUCCCUAGUGGAAAACCUCAACUCUGAGAUUACCAAAGCAUCAUCGGAAUCCCGAUGCACAAGAUAUCUCGUCAAAGGUAAAACUAAUCCAGCAAGGCCGCCCGGCGUGUCGACGAUCCAGAUAGGAGACGCGUAUCUCGUUCUCAGGACACCACGGAUAAGCGAAGCGUACGGGUCCCAAACCUCGAGUUUCCUAGCGGUGGCCCCGCCAGGUGCUCUGUUUUGGACCAACACUCAUGAGGAGCACUGGCCCGGGGGUUGAUUAAAUUAUCCUCGGGGUCCGGAAUGUCCCUAUGCAAGUUUAUUAGGUGAUUAGGCAAAUGUAGUACCAAAGUUGGGCCUUGCUAGACCAGCUUUAAUCUAAAACGAAUUAUCAAGGGGGUCCCCAUAACAACCCCGAUCGAGUUAGGAGCGCUCAUUUAUGGAACAUAACACCGGUAGCCGGAAACUAAGGGGGCAAAGGUGGAACAAAACACCAGGCUAGAAAGGCCGAGCCUUCCACCUUUUACCAAGUAUAUAGGUGCAUUAAAUUAAAUAGCAUUUAAUAUGGUGAUAUAACAAGGAACCCAUGUUUUCACAUGGAAGCAACUACACCUGCAACUAGCAACGCUAACACAGGGUUAAGCAAGCAGUAACAUAGCCAAUCAGUGGUUUGCUAGGUUGAACAGGUUGAAGGUUUUCAUGGCAUUGUUGAGAGGCUGAUAUUUAACAUGUGGUAGGCAACGAGACAUAAUCGAUAGAAGCGAUAAAACUAGCAUGGAAAUGAUAGUAAUGGUAUCGGAAAUGGUCAUCUUGCCUGAAAUCCCGCUUGGAAGAAGAAUGCCUCCGUGAAGCAGAAGAACCGACGUAGUCGAACGGGUCCUCACAUCCGACACGCUUGCGGAACUCUAUCGAGACGAAGCAACCCGGAAACACAAAUCAACACACGAUAUUCACCACACGAUGCACAACACAUAUGAUGCAUGAGCAGCUGAAUACAUGCAAGACACGGCAUGACAAUUCACACAAUCAAACACUACACAUUAAGUGAAGUUCAAUAUGCAACGAGUUGCAUAUUGACGAAACUCCACGUUAAUUUAUUUAGUUCUCUCCCGAUUAGAUACACGACAAUAUUAAAUGUGGUUAACCAUGUCAAGAGGUGAAGCGCAAUUAAUCUACCUGUCUAGGCAUUUUAAAUGAGGUCGGAAAUGACAUAUAGCACCUCCGAAGCGACCUCACACGUUAAUUUACAAUUCUGUCCAGAUUGAACUAACACAUUAAUUACUUGUUAAACAGCAAAACAAAUAGGUUCACGUGAUUCUACGCGUCGUUACAAGCAAUUUACACAUAGAGAACAUCUCCAACGGAGCUACCGUUCAAAAGAUACAAGCACCCCAAGAUAUGAUGGCAUGAAUGCAAUAUGUGUGCAACGACGGUCACGAGCACUUCAAAACACACAACCAGUAAGAUAAAAUGACACUACAAGAGAUUCUAAGCGAGUUUCAUAUAGGACACGAUCAAAUCGGAGCUACGGUUCAACAACUACGAGCAAAACAAGAAAUGACUACAAUCUGCCAAAAUCAGCCACAUAGCAUUUUCUACACCCCACAACUACGAGCUAUACAACUCUGAUAUACUCAACCAAGACACGGCGCGAAAUAGGGCAAGGAGCACUACAAUAAACAACUAACAACAACUAGCAUGGCAUAAUGGAUCACUAGGAAAAGAAGUCUCAAAAUGGCUUCUCACACACUAUUUCAGACUUAGUGAAAAUAACACCUCAUGAAAGUGCAGUUUUCGAUCUGAAGCCAUAUUGACAGCAGUAAAAUCAUAGUCUACAGGACUCCAAAUGACAUGAAAAUUCACAACAUGCUAGAGAAUCACAAGGGCUACAACUAACUCCAUCGGACCAACCUCAAAAGAGCUACAGAUCAAAAGAUACAAGCAAGACAAGACAAAAACAAAAUAUAACAAAUUUCAGAUUUAGAAAUAUUUCAGCACCUCCAAAUCAGCACUAUUUCUAGCAACUUGAGAGCAAGCAAAAACACACCUAAACAUGCAUUUCUAUUGCAACCAAAAAUACGAGGGGCUAGAGUAAACAUCAAAGGGCAACUCCCUAGUUUACACCUCCUUCAAACGAAGCACGAAAUAAAUCCUACGAAAAAGACAAGAGGGCAACAUAGCAAUAUAUCGCGCGAACUAACUUGCUCAAAAGCUAAAACUAAUUGCACAUAAAAAUCCUUUGGAUUUUUCUACCCCGAAAACAUAUAAAACAAGUGGGGUUGCAACACAAAAAUAUUGCCACACGUAAAUGCGAGAUAAUAACCUAUACACGGCAAAAUAAACUAGCGGCAAUCCCUACACGCAAAAUUAUCAACGUCUACUCUAAAAAUAUAUGGAAAAGUGGUUCCUAAAACAUGGACAUUUUACCUAAGGCAUCCGUGGUUCCUAAAACAUGGACAUUUUACCUAAGGCAUUCGAGUAAUUCAAACACGCGCGGAAAAUAAACUACGGAAAGGAUCCUAUUGGACAGCAUGUAAAUUUAUGCAUAUGGCAUCUCAAACUACGUCAAACAAUUAUGCAUGUUGCAAAAACGGAUUCUACGCGAAAUUCUAGUCAAGUUUCAUAUAUAAGUUGUCUCGAUUCGGUGCACGGUCUAAAAGGUACGGGUGUUUGAAAAUCGAUGCUUUCUCUGAAAUCCUAGUGCAGCAAAAAAAACAAGGGAAACGAAAAAUGGGGCAAAGCUGGGAUUCGAUCCCAGGGUCCCUCGACCCAGCACAGACAACUACUCGGCUACGGUGCCCUUGUUAGAAAAAUAGAGUGGUGACCCUCCUUAUAUUGUUUGAACCAGAACGGAUCUAGGAAACACGAUAAGGAUUCAGUUACACAGCUUGCAAGGGAACCGAGACUUGCGGCCAUGGCACGGGAGCAGCGACCACUUGCCAGCCCGACGCCGAGGAUGAGGUCUGCACACGCUGGGAUGGCCGGAUCCAGGGCAAGGGACUCCAUUCCCAGCGGAUCUGGCGCGUUCCGGAGGAGCUUGCCUCCAUGGUGCUGCGGACCUGCAGGGAAGAGAGGGGAGAGAGGUGAACGAGGGGAGAGAGAGUCAGAGGGAAAGCAGGGGGAGAAAGAUGAUGAGGAGGGAGGAAGAAGGAGCAGGGAAUGGGGCGACCUGGAUCGGUGGUGGAGCUGCAGCUCGGACGCAGAGGAGCGCCGCUCGGGGCAGAGCUAUUGGUCAAGGCGACCAUGGUUCUUCUCUGCGUUGCGCUCGGGCCGUCCUGCCGCUACAGCACGGGCACCAGCAGAGGAGGUCGCGGCUCCGACGUCCUGGUGCUGUUCCUGGAGGCGCGGCGAUGGCCUGGAGGACGACCUCCUGCUCGAGCAGAAACACACAGGGAGACGCGGGGC